rnacentral:ncRNA from 1 species
CACAAAGGCUUGGUCCCGACCUUAAAAUCAAUUAUUACUUAACCUACACAUGCAAGCCUCUACACCCCAGUGAAAAUGCCCCUAAAUUUUAUUAAAUUUUACGAGGAGCAGGUAUCAGGCACAACCCUUUGCCCAAAACACCUAGCUAUGCCACACCCACAAGGGUACUCAGCAGUGACUAACAUUGAACCUUUAAGCGACAGCUUGAUUCAGUUAAAGUAAAAAGAGCCGGCAAAUAAGGUGCCAGCCGCCGCGGCUAUACCAGUGGCUCAAAUUGAUAUUCAUCGGCGUAAAGCGUGAUUAAAGCCAACCAUAAAACUAGAGCUAAACUUAAACUAAACAGUUAAAUAUCUAUUUAAGUGAAACCCAAAUAACGAAAGUUGCUCUAUAUAUCAACUUGAACUCACGAAAGCUUGGACAUAAACUGGGAUUAGAUACCCCACUAUACCUUGCUGUAAACUUUUAAUUCACAUCCUAAUCGCCAGGGAACUACGAGCAGAGCUUAAAACCCAAAGGACUUGACGGUACCCCAUAUCACCCUAGAGGAGCCUGUCCUAUAAUCGAUAAUCCCCGUUUCACCUCACCACAUCUAGCUUUUUCAGCCUGUAUACUUCCGUCGUCAGCUUACCACGUGAGCGUAAUAUAGUUAGCUUAAUGUCCAUACUUUAAUUUGUAUCGUCAAUACGUCAGGUCAAAGUGCAGCAAAUGUUGUGGAAAGAGAUUGGCUACACUUUUUAGUUUAAAAAAAACAGAACACAUAAAUGAAAUUUUGUGUAAAGGUGGAUUUAGAAGUAAAAAGAAAUCAUAAUAUUCAUUUUAACAAAGCACUGGGGCGUGUACACACCGCCCGUCACCCUCCUCGAAAAAAUCAACUUCAGUACUUAACCAAUUUCUACUAUAGAGAGGAGGUAAGUCGUAACAUGGUAAGUGUACCGGAAGGUGUACUUGGAAUAU